UACAGAGGUCUCAAGCGUUGUUCGGAUUCAUUGGGCGUAAAGGGUGCGUAGGCGGCUUGGUAGGUCUGGUGUGAAAGCCCCGGGCUCAGCCCGGGAAGGGCACUAGAAACUGCCAAGCUAGAGUGCCGGAGGGGAGAGUGGAAUUCCUGGUGUAGCGGUGAAAUGCGCAGAUAUCAGGAGGAACACCAAUGGCGAAGGCAGCUCGCUGGGACGGUACUGACGCUGAGACGCGAAAGCGUGGGGAGCAAACAGG
rnacentral:rRNA from 1 species